GGAGAAAUGGCAGAGUGGUCGAAUGCACCGGUCUUGAAAACCGGCGAGGGUCACACCUCCGGGGGUUCGAAUCCCUCUUUCUCCGCGA
rnacentral:tRNA from 2 species